GCGAGCGGUCGGAGCCCGGGUGCGAGCUGGAAAUGUGUGGGGGGCGCCCACGCCUCUCCGGGGCCGCCUUUUCAAAUUCGGCGAGGUGGGCUCUAAGCCGUCAAAGGGGGCGUGGGGCUUUUUUGUUAACCCUCGGCGGUCCGGGGCCGAGGAGGCGGCAGUGGCGGCAGAGCUAGGGUGCGAGCUCCGCAGGAGGUCCCUGGAGCCUAACACCCCGAAAGCCAGACCUCGCGCCCAGGCCCCCGCUACACACCUUAGAACCUUUGAAACCAAACCUUCUUCGGGUCCGCGAAUGCUUUCGGAGCGCCCAUUCUGUGUCUGCCAAUUUCACCUGGACGAUGUUGGUGAAUCCUCGCCACACUGCCCUCGAUGGUCCCAUUCAGAAGUGGAAACUGAGGCUGGAGAAAGUUAAGCCAGACAAAUGCGAGUCUUCCGAUCCUUGUGCAGGGCUCUUUGGAUCAAAGCGCUGCGUUCCCGUGAGAAACUGACCAGAGCUUCCCAGGAUUCUCCUCCUUCCCCUUUAACCUCCAGCCCCCACCUGCCCCGCUGUCUCUUCCAGAAGGAUUGUAGGAUUGUUGUUAGAAGACGACAGGAAGAUGGCCAAGCAUGGUGGCUCACGCCUGUAAUCCCAGCACUUUGGGAGGCCAAGGCAGGUAAAUCACAAGGUCAGGAGCUCGAGACCAGCCUGCCCAACAUGGUGAAACCCCGUCUCUACUAAAAAUACAAAAAUUGGAUAACUAGCCCUGC
rnacentral:lncRNA from 10 species